ACGCUCGACACCUACGGAGGCAGCAGUGGGGAAUAUUGCACAAUGGAGGAAACUCUGAUGCAGCGAUGCCGCGUGAGGGAAGAAGGUUUUCGGAUUGUAAACCUCUGUCUUUGGGGACGAUAAUGACGGUACCCAAGGAGGAAGCUCCGGCUAACUACGUGCCAGCAGCCGACGGUAAUCUGAGCGGGCUGGCAAGGC
rnacentral:rRNA from 1 species